rnacentral:rRNA from 1 species
UACGAAGGGGGCUAGCGUUGUUCGGAAUUACUGGGCGUAAAGCGCACGUAGGCGGCUUUGCAAGUUAGAGGUGAAAGCCCGGGGCUCAACUCCGGAAUUGCCUUUAAAACUGCAUCGCUAGAAUUGUGGAGAGGUAAGUGGAAUUCCGAGUGUAGAGGUGAAAUUCGUAGAUAUUCGGAAGAACACCAGUGGCGAAGGCGGCGACCUGGACGGACAUUGACGCUGAGA